rnacentral:pre_miRNA from 1 species
UUGAUUUAAAUCAUUGUUGUUCUACACUUUGAAAAUUGAACCUACAAAAAAUGGUGGAACAUACAUUGAUUUCAUUCAA